rnacentral:rRNA from 1 species
CAGUCGCCGGCGGUAAUACAGAGGGUGCAAGCGUUAAUCGGAAUUACUGGGCGUAAAGCGCGCGUAGGUGGUUUGUUAAGUUGGAUGUGAAAUCCCCGGGCUCAACCUGGGAACUGCAUCCAAAACUGGCAAGCUAGAGUAUGGUAGAGGGUGGUGGAAUUUCCUGUGUAGCGGUGAAAUGCGUAGAUAUAGGAAGGAACACCAGUGGCGAAGGCGACCACCUGGACUGAUACUGACACUGAGGUGCGAAAGCGUGGGGAGCAAACAGGAUUAGAUACCCGGGUAGUCCCUGUCUCUUAUA